UACGUAGGGGGCGAGCGUUGUCCGGAGUUACUGGGCGGAAAGGGCACGCAGGCGGUGCGGCGCGUUUCGCGUGACAGCGGAGGGCUUAACUCUCCGAGGAUGCGAAAGACGGCGGCACUUGAGGGCCAGAGAGGGACACGGAAUUCCGGGUGGAGUGGUGAAAUGCGUAGAGAUCCGGAGGAACACCGAAGGCGAAGGCAGUGUCCUGGCUGGUGACUGACGCUGAGGUGCGAAAGCUAGGGGAGCGAACGGG
rnacentral:rRNA from 1 species